rnacentral:rRNA from 1 species
AACGAACGCUGGCGGCAGGCCUAACACAUGCAAGUCGAACGCCCCGCAAGGGGAGUGGCAGACGGGUGAGUAACGCGUGGGAACCUUCCCAAUGGUACGGAAUAGCCCAGGGAAACUUGGAGUAAUACCGUAUAAGCCCCGAGGGGGAAAGAUUUAUCGCCAUUGGAUGGGCCCGCGUCUGAUUAGCUAGUUGGUGAGGUAACGGCUCACCAAGGCGACGAUCAGUAGCUGGUUUGAGAGAAUGACCAGCCACACUGGGACUGAGACACGGCCCAGACUCCUACGGGAGGCAGCAGUGGGGAAUAUUGGACAAUGGGCGCAAGCCUGAUCCAGCCAUGCCGCGUGAGUGACGAAGGCCUUAGGGUUGUAAAGCUCUUUUGGCGGGGACGAUAAUGACGGUACCCGCAGAAUAAGCCCCGGCUAACUUCGUG